CCUACGGGAGGCAGCAGUGAGGAAUAUUGGUCAAUGGACGAGAGUCUGAACCAGCCAAGUAGCGUGAAGGAUGACUGCCCUAUGGGUUGUAAACUUCUUUUAUAUGGGAAUAAAACAGGGUAUGCAUACCCUCUUGUAUGUACCAUAUGAAUAAGGAUCGGCUAACUCCGUGCCAGCAGCCGAGGUAAUACGGAGGAUCCGAGCGUUAUCCGGAUUUAUUGGGUUUAAAGGGAGCGUAGGUGGAUUGUUAAGUCAGUUGUGAAAGUUUGCGGCUCAACCGUAAAAUUGCAGUUGAAACUGGCAGUCGUGAGUACAGUAGAGGUGGGCGGAAUUCGUGGUGUAGCGGUGAAAUGCUUAGAUAGCACGCAGAACUCCGAUUGCGAAGGCAGCUCACUGGACUGCAACUGACACUGAUGCUCGAAAGUGUGGGUAUCAAACAGGAUUAGAUACCCGAGUAGUC
rnacentral:rRNA from 1 species